rnacentral:rRNA from 1 species
ACAGAGGUGCCGAGCGUUAGGCGGAAUCACUGGGCUUAAAGCGUGUGUAGGCGGGGCGUUAAGUGUCUUGUGAAAUCCCACGGCCCAACCGUGGAAGUGCCCCGGAUACCGCCGGCCUCGAGGGAGGUAGGGGCGUGUGGAACUUCCGGUGGAGCGGUGAAAUGCGUAGAGAUCGGAAGGAACGCCGGUGGCGAAAGCGACACGCUGGAC